rnacentral:rRNA from 1 species
GACGAACGCUGGCGGCAGGCUUAACACAUGCAAGUCGAACGAGAUCUUCGGAUCUAGUGGCAGACGGGUGAGGAACACGUGGGAACAUCCCUUUCAGUUCGGAAUAACGUUGGGAAACUAACGCUAAUACCGGAUACGUCCUUCGGGAGAAAGAUUUAUCGCUGAAAGAUUGGCCCGCGUCUGAUUAGCUAGUUGGUGAGGUAAUGGCUCACCAAGGCUACGAUCAGUAGCUGAUCUGAGAGGAUGAUCAGCCACAUUGGGACUGAGACACGGCCCAAACUCCUACGGGAGGCAGCAGUGGGGAAUAUUGGACAAUGGGCGCAAGCCUGAUCUAGCCAUGCCGCGUGAUCGAUGAAGGCCUUAGGGUUGUAAAGAUCUUUCAGUGGGGAAGAUAAUGACUGUACCCACAGAAGAAGCCCCGGCUAACUCCGUGCCAGCCGCCGCCGUAAGAC